UCGAGUGCUUGGUCCAAUAGAUAAGAUGACCUCUUUUAAGGUCAGAGGUCUCUGAUUCGAUCUCGCCUGGCGCUCGUGUUAUUUUCUUUUCUUUAGCCCGAGCCGUUCGAUCCCGCCAGGCACUGCAGCCGUUUCGUCUUUGUACUUGUCGAUACGUAGCACAUUUAUUUAAUUUUUCUUUCAACACCCUGAUUAGAGGUAGAGCCCAAC
rnacentral:lncRNA from 1 species